GCAGCCUGUGAUGAGGAUGUCUCCCACUCAUGUUCGAGUUUCCCAACUAUGAGACAACUCUACAUGCACUACCAUCUGAGGCUGA
ensembl:snoRNA SNORD33 Small nucleolar RNA Z195/SNORD33/SNORD32 family